rnacentral:rRNA from 1 species
GCCUAACACAUGCAAGUCGAGCGAAGCGAUUCGGAUGAAGUUUUCGGAUGGAUUUGGGAUUGACUGAGCGGCGGACGGGUGAGUAACGCGUGGGUAACCUGCCCCGGAGCGGGGGAUAACAUUUGGAAACAGAUGCUAAUACCGCAUAACAACAAAAGCCACAUGGCUUUUGUUUGAAAGAUGGCUUUGGCUAUCACUCUGGGAUGGACCUGCGGUGCAUUAGCUAGUUGGUAAGGUAACGGCUUACCAAGGCGAUGAUGCAUAGCCGAGUUGAGAGACUGAUCGGCCACAAUGGAACUGAGACACGGUCCAUACUCCUACGGGAGGCAGCAGUAGGGAAUCUUCCACAAUGGGCGCAAGCCUGAUGGAGCAACACCGCGUGAGUGAAGAAGGGUUUCGGCUCGUAAAGCUCUGUUGUUGGAGAAGAACGUGCGUGAGAGUAACUGUUCACGCAGUGACGGUAUCCAACCAGAAAGUCACGGCUAACUACGUGCCAGCAGCCGCGGUAA